rnacentral:misc_RNA from 1 species
UCAUGUAGCUGGAAUAUUGCUGAGUGCGGCGUUAAACAACAAACAAACAAACAUAAUACCCUGUCAGUUGUCAAGCAACAGUCUGUUUUAUAUAAUGGGGAUAUUUGAUUUUAUUUUUUUGGUGGCAAUACAAAUAACUGACGCUCAACAUUUAAAAUGACGCUCCGAUGACCGAGAAACAUUUACCUGUUUUUGGCCUGCUUUAUUAAUAGUUAUGUCCCACAUAUUCACCGGCUUCUCGCAUUCAUUUGAGCAUUUACGUUUAUGUAGGGAAGUAGCUAAAGCAUACGCUGGGAACGACAACGAAGGGUGACACCGCUCGUGAUUCAUUUGUGUCGUAUUCAAGCAAACGGGAUUGUUUCUAUGCGUUCCAUUGUUGGAGAAACUGGUGAAAAAGCACACGUUUAAAAGACGGCCUUAACUGAUAUUAUCAGUUGACGAAAACGACAUAAGCCGUUCCAUCAUCACAAGAAACCCUUGCCAAAAGUAGCGCCAACUGCACGAUUCCGACAACACCAGAAGCAUGUUUCAUUAUUCACCAUAAACAAUGAUGACACUGGGUGAUCGCAUAAAGGCGAGCUCAUCCCGAUCCACUAGUGGCACCCGCCACAAACACACGCAAAGGCAAGCCAAUUGAUCACCCGAAAAGGCACGGAAGCAUACGGUACAAGUCAAAAUAGAGAAUUGCAUCAGACAUCAUUUUGGUCAUUGAUACGUCAAACCUAGAAAUGCCGUCUACACGUCCAACACAAAGCCCAAGCCAGGACCCGAAUCCUUUGAACCCGCCCAAAUAACCCCCUGAGCACUAAGCUUGCCGAAAUCCAAAGUUCUGUUAAUAAAAUACAUUUUCCCCUAACCUAAAGUAAUCUAU